AGUGAACGCUGGCGGCAGGCCUAACACAUGCAAGUCGAGCGGCAGCGCGGGGGCAACCCUGGCGGCGAGCGGCGGACGGGUGAGGAAUUCGUCGGAAUCUGCCUUUUUGUGGGGGAUAACGUAGGGAAACUUACGCUAAUACCGCAUACGUCCUACGGGAGAAAGUGGGGGACCGCAAGGCCUCAUGCAGAAAGAUGAGCCGACGACCGAUUAGCUAGUUGGUGGGGUAAAGGCCCACCAAGGCGACGAUCGGUAGCUGGUCUGAGAGGAUGAUCAGCCACACUGGGACUGAGACACGGCCCAGACUCCUACGGGAGGCAGCAGUGGGGAAUAUUGGACAAUGGGCGCAAGCCUGAUCCAGCCAUGCCGCGUGUGUGAAGAAGGCCUUCGGGUUGUAAAGCACUUUUGUCCGGAAAGAAAUCCCUGGAGCUAAUACCUUCGGGGGAUGACGGUACCGGAAGAAUAAGCACCGGCUAACUUCGUG
rnacentral:rRNA from 1 species